rnacentral:rRNA from 1 species
ACGCUGGCGGCGUGCCUAAUACAUGCAAGUCGAACGAGAGCGACCGGUGCUUGCACUGGUCAAUCUAGUGGCGAACGGGUGAGUAACACGUGGGUAACCUGCCCAUCAGAGGGGGAUAACAUUCGGAAACGGAUGCUAAAACCGCAUAGGUCCUUUAACCGCAUGGUUGAAGGAGGAAAAGGGGCGCAAGCUUCUGCUGAUGGAUGGACCCGCGGUGCAUUAGCUAGUUGGUGAGGUAACGGCUCACCAAGGCCGUGAUGCAUAGCCGACCUGAGAGGGUGAUCGGCCACAUUGGGACUGAGACACGGCCCAAACUCCUACGGGAGGCAGCAGUAGGGAAUCUUCCGCAAUGGACGCAAGUCUGACGGAGCAACGCCGCGUGAGUGAAGAAGGUUUUCGGAUCGUAAAACUCUGUUGUUAGAGAAGAACAAGUGCUAGAGUAACUGUUAGCGCCUUGACGGUAUCUAACCAGAAAGCCACGGCUAACUACGUGCCAGCAGCCGCGGUAAUACGUAGGUGGCAAGCGUUGUCCGGAUUUAUUGGGCGUAAAGCGAGCGCAGGCGGUUCCUUAAGUCUGAUGUGAAAGCCCCCGGCUCAACCGGGGAGGGUCAUUGGAAACUGGGGAACUUGAGUGCAGAAGAGGAGAGUGGAAUUCCAUGUGUAGCGGUGAAAUGCGUAGAUAUAUGGAGGAACACCAGUGGCGAAGGCGACUCUCUGGUCUGUAACUGACGCUGAGGCUCGAAAGCGUGGGUAGCAAACAGGAUUAGAUACCCUGGUAGUCCACGCCGUAAACGAUGAGUGCUAAGUGUUGGAGGGUUUCCGCCCUUCAGUGCUGCAGUUAACGCAUUAAGCACUCCGCCUGGGGAGUACGACCGCAAGGUUGAAACUCAAAGGAAUUGACGGGGACCCG